CCUACGGGGGGCAGCAGUGGGGGAUAUUGCACAAUGGGGGGAACUCUGAUGCAGCGACGCCGUGGGUGAAGAAGCGCCUCGGCGCGUAAAGCCCUGUCAGUAGGUAAGAAUAUGAUGGUACCUGAAGAAGAAGCCCUGGCUACCUACGUGCCAGCAGCCGCGGUAAUACGUAGGGGGCACGCGUUACCUGGAUUUAAUGGGAGUAAAGGGGGCGCAGGCGGCGUGGCAAGGCAGUAGUGAAAGCCCGGGGCCCAACCCGGGAACUGCUGUUGGAACUGCGUGGCUGGAGUGCAGGAGAGGUGGGCGGAAUUCCUGGUGUAGCGGUGAAAUGCUUAGAUAUCAGGAAGAACACCGGUGGCGAAGGCAGUCUGCUGGACUGCAACUGACGUUGAGGCCCGAAAGCGUGGGGAGCAAACAGGAUUAGAUACCCGGGUAGUC
rnacentral:rRNA from 1 species